GGGUGAGGGGGGCGGUGGAACGGAAGUGGCGUAGCGGAGCGGCGGGAGAAGCGGCGGGAGGAGAGGCGGCGGCGGCGGCGGCGGCGUGACGUCACUGGGGGGACACCGGGGAGCCCGGCGUGACGUCAUGCCGACCGUGCUGGGCCUGGAGGGCUCCGCCAACAAGGUGGGCGCGGGGGUGGUGCGGGACGGCGCCGUCCUCAGCAACCGCCGCGCCACCUACGUCACGCCGCCGGGACAGGGCUUCGCCCCCGGCCCCACCGGGCGGCACCACCGGGCCGUGCUGCUGGGCCUGGUCCAGGCCGCGCUGCGCGAGGCGGGCGUCGGGCCCCGCGACCUCGACGGGGUCGCCUUCACCAAGGGCCCUGGCAUGGGUUCCCCCCUGGCGGUGGUAGCGGCCGUGGCGCGGACGCUGGCGCAGCUCUGGGGGCGGCCCCUGCUGGCUGUCAAUCACUGCGUGGGGCACAUCGAGAUGGGGCGGCUGCUCGGCCCCGCCCCCGACCCGCUCGUGCUCUACGUCAGCGGCGGCAACACACAGGUGAUCGCGUACUCCCGGCACCGGUACCGGAUCCUGGGCGAGACCCUGGACGUGGCCGUGGGGAACUGCAUCGACCGCCUGGCCCGGCUGCUGCAGAUCCCAAACGCCCCCAGCCCUGGCUACAACGUGGAGCAGCUGGCCAAGAGGGGCCGCCGGCUGAUCGCGCUGCCCUACGUGGUCAAGGGUCUCGACGUCUCCUUCUCGGGGCUCCUGUCCCACCUCCAGGCUGUGACCCCCAAACUGCUGGGGUCGGGGGAGGCGACGCCGGAGGAUUUGUGCUUCUCCCUGCAGGAGACGGCGUUCGCGAUGCUGGCCGAGGUCACCGAGCGCGCGCUGGCGCUGACGCGGGCGCGGCACCUGCUGCUCGUGGGGGGCGUGGCCUGUAACCGCCGGCUGCAGGAGAUGCUGCAGACAAUGUGCAGGGCCCGGGGGGCCGAGCUGUGCCCCACAGACGAGAGGUACUGCAUCGACAACGGCGCCAUGAUCGCCCAGGCCGGGUGGGAGAUGCUGAGAGUGGGGCAGGUGACGGAGCUCAGCCAAUCAGGGAUCACGCAGAGGUACCGGACGGACGAGGUGGAGGUGACCUGGAGGGACUGAGGUGACCACGCCCCAAAUGGCCACGCCCUUUUAAUAAAAUAGACCCCACCCCUCCCAUCUUCUGGCCACGCCUCUUUAUGUGUGGAUGAUGCCAUUCAAUUGCUGACCCCGCCCAUCUAGAGAGGACCAAUCAGCUUCCGAUGCUGCUUGUCAGUCACCCAGGGAACUCUGCCCUCCCACUGUCAAUCAACUGGUGCAAGCCACGCCCCUUUUGUUUGAUUACAUCAAUGCCCCCUGUCAAUCAACAGCUUCAAUCCCCGCCCCUUGCAUUGGGUUACAUCAGUGCCAUCUCUGUCAAUCACCCAUGGGCCACGCCCACUCGUAUUGCAUAACCGCAGCUCUCUCCUGCAUGAGUGGCAGCCCAGCGGCCAAUAGGAUUGGAGGGCGGUAAAGCGAUGGCCAAUAGGAGCGCGGGGGGGCGUGACUUUGCUGAUGGGGGCUGGCGGGCGAAGGCGGGAUCGGUUCAGUCUGUGAGGGGCCGGCGAAGGGGUCGGAUCGCAGUGGAGAGGUAGCGGGAGGAAAUGGCGGCUGUGGGGGAAGGAGGCUGUGUGCGUUUGCGUGCGUGUGUGUGUGUUUGUGUCGCGACAUGGCUCCCGCUCGCGAUCCCGACCCGCGUUCCCCCCGUCGCCGCCAGCCGCGGGCGCUCGGGGUUUUAGCGGUGUCGCAGAGCAGCGGCGGCUCCUUCUUCACUCGGCGGAGCAGAGGCUUCGGGGCUCCACCGGAAUUUGGGGGGUCGCACAAAUGUUCCGGGAGGGGCCGCGGGGGCUCCGGGCCGGGCCGGGGGAGGUUCUCGGGAGGGCUCCCGCGGUCCCGGUUCGGUCCCGGUCUGAUUCCAUUUCUGUUCUCUCAGGCGGAGCUGCCGGCGGGAAUCUGCUUCAGGAGGAUCUCCGCUGUAUUCUUUCCUUCCUUUUCUGCUGUUUUGUUUUUUGGUUUUUUUUUUUUAACCAUAUUUGCUUAACCUGAAAAUUCUUUACCUCAUUUUCCCUCACGAUUUGCGCUCCCCACCACGUGUCUCCCCAUCCUUCCCUGAAGGAAGGAGCCGCUUGCCGGAAACGGCGCCCCGCGGAUUUCGGCGCUGUAAAACUACAAUUUUACAUCUUUAAUUUACGUUUUUAAAAUUAGUUUUCCGCUUCAAAGAACUCUUUUUGUAUUUUCAAUUAGUGUUUUGGGGUUUUUUGAAGAGUUUUUGGAGUUUUUUUUGCGGAAUUCGAGGCGAUUUAGCUUCAGAGUUCCACCCUCAGGAUUUGGACCCUCCCCACGUGUUUUGCCUCCUCUUUAACGUUGACUAAAUCAGAAUAUACUUUAAUAUGAAAAACCACAAAACCUUUUUCCCGAAAUUUACCUCCUAAUUUUUGUUUUUUAUCGAUUUUACUUUUUAUUUUGGCCCAUUUUUCCUCCGCCUUUCCCUGAGGCGCUGCCCGCGCCGGGAAAACCGCGCCCCGAUUCUUAUACUUUUAUUUUCUAUUUUUAUUUUUCGAUUUCCCAGAUUCCACCGCUGUUAGUGGAGGUUUGGGCUAUAAGUCUUUAUUCUCUAUUUUGCCGGGUUUUUUUUCCCCAGAUAAAUUGUUGUCCUGAUGUUAUGAAUAUGUUUCUUUUAUGGAUCGCUGGAAUAAAUCCUUCUUCGCUGUGGAAUUUACCGCGGGUUUGGCGAGGGGAAGCCUAAGAGUUUUAUUUAAGUAGUUUAAAAGUUUUAUUU